UCUAUUAGGUCUAGCAAAAAUAGUAUUUUAUUUUGAUUGCUUUGGGGGAAUCCGGGUGAAAAUCCCGAACAGAUGCGCUACCGUAAUUGCUAUAAAGCAUAAGUCGGGAACCUAUUCUUUAAAAACAGCCAUU
rnacentral:ncRNA from 2 species